rnacentral:rRNA from 1 species
GACGAACGCUGGCGGCGUGCUUAACACAUGCAAGUCGAACGAGGCCCUCCUUCGGGAGGUGUCCUAGUGGCGAACGGGUGAGUAACACGUGGGCAACCUGCCCCCGGCUCCGGGAUAACCCCAAGAAAUUGGGGCUAAUACCGGAUAUGACCGCUGACCGCAUGGUCGGUAGUGGAAAGGGUUUCCGGCUGGGGAUGGGCCCGCGGCCUAUCAGCUUGUUGGUGGGGUAGUGGCCUACCAAGGCGACGACGGGUAGCCGGCCUGAGAGGGUGACCGGCCACACUGGGACUGAGACACGGCCCAGACUCCUACGGGAGGCAGCAGUGGGGAAUAUUGCGCAAUGGGCGAAAGCCUGACGCAGCGACGCCGCGUGAGGGAUGACGGCCUUCGGGUUGUAAACCUCUUUCAGCAGGGACGAAGCGCAAGUGACGGUACCUGCAGAAGAAGCACCGGCCAACUACGUGCCAGCAGCCGCAGUAAUAC